CAGCCGCCGCGGGAAUACGGAGGGAACUAGCGUUGUUCGGAAUUACUGGGCGUAAAGCGUGCGCAGGCGGUUAUAUAAGACAGAUGUGAAAUCCCCGGGCUCAACCUGGGACCUGCAUUUGUGACUGUAUAGCUAGAGUACGGUAGAGGGGGAUGGAAUUCCGCGUGUAGCAGUGAAAUGCGUAGAUAUGCGGAGGAACACCGAUGGCGAAGGCAAUCCCCUGGACCUGUACUGACGCUCAUGCACGAAAGCGUGGGGAGCAAACAGGAUUAGAUACCCCCGUAGUCCCUGUCUCUUAUAC
rnacentral:rRNA from 1 species